rnacentral:pre_miRNA from 1 species
UGGAUAGAUUAUUGUAUUCGACUGUAUUCACGACGUGAAAUAGGGGAUUACACUGUUUUUAAAACGGAAAGUGAAUCAAUUAACAUAAUAGACUCCU